UUUAAUUGAAGAGUUUGAUCAUGGCUCAGAUUGAACGCUGGCGGCAGGCCUAACACAUGCAAGUCGAGCGGCAGCGACAUAAACAAUCCUUCGGGUGCGUCUAUGGGCGGCGAGCGGCGGACGGGUG
rnacentral:rRNA from 1 species